AUACGGAGGGAGCAAGCGUUAUUCGGAAUCACUGGGCGUAAAGGACGCGUAGGCGGGUUUGUAAGUCAGGUGUGAAAUCCUACAGCUCAACUGUAGAACUGCACUUGAAACUACAGACCUAGAGUAUGGAAGGGGCAGAUGGAAUUAGUGGUGUAGGGGUAAAAUCCGUAGAUAUCACUAGGAAUACCGAAAGCGAAGGCGAUCUGCUGGGACAUUACUGACGCUGAGUCGUGAAAGCGUGGGGAGCAAACAGGAUUAGAAACCCUAGUAGUCC
rnacentral:rRNA from 1 species